rnacentral:rRNA from 1 species
GAUGAACGCUGGCGGCGUGCCUAAUACAUGCAAGUCGAGCGAACAGACGAGGAGCUUGCUCCUCUGACGUUAGCGGCGGACGGGUGAGUAACACGUGGAUAACCUACCUAUAAGACUGGGAUAACUUCGGGAAACCGGAGCUAAUACCGGAUAAUAUAUUGAACCGCAUGGUUCAAUAGUGAAGGACGGUUUUGCUGUCACUUAUAGAUGGAUCCGCGCCGCAUUAGCUAGUUGGUAAGGUAACGGCUUACCAAGGCGACUAUGCGUAGCCGACCUGAGAGGGUGAUCGGCCACACUGGAACUGAGACACGGUCCAGACUCCUACGGGAGGCAGCAGUAGGGAAUCUUCCGCAAAGGGCGAAAGCCUGACGGAGCAACGCCGCGUGAGUGAUGAAGGUCUUCGGAUCGUAAAACUCUGUUAUUAGGGAAGAACAAAUGUGUAAGUAACUAUGCACGUCUUGACGGUACCUAAUCAGAAAGCCACGGCUAACUACGUG